AAAGGAAGAUAAGAGAAGAGCAAAGAACAACCGGAAUCAACCAGACACCCAAAGCUACAGCUUCCCAAGCAGGCUUGUGCUGAAGGUGUAACUGUCUGCUGUUAAGCCGUGGCUAGUGGUAGAAGAUGGAGCUUGGCGUAGAAGAGAACUUGAUGUGACAUCAUUUUGCUGGCAUCUUUCCGGCUCAGUCAUCUUUGUGCUGUUUUGCCUUUCAUAUUUGUUCAGUGAGGAUGUAGUCUUCCAGAAAAAUUUCAGAUUAUCAAAUGCCUUUCUAUGGGACUGAAGGGAAGACAGGAGAACAGCUACAAUGUGCCUCUGCUUUCUUGCCUCAAAAAAUAGAACACUCACCAUUCUUCAUCAGGCAGCAGGUUCUGCUGCAUUGUUGGGAUGAGACUUCUGAAUAAAUCUUCAGCACCUGGGCUCCCCUCCGCUGUGAUUCCUGCAGGUCGAUCAGAAGACCUGGGAAGCGUCGGAUCCAGCAGUUUUUGUAAAAAGUAGUGGGUGAGCAGAGGGAGUCUGAGUCCAUGGCCAAACCCAGAACGAAGAGCACUUCUGCUAGUGCCAGCAGCAGAACCAUCUCUUCGCUGUAACGGGCUUCGUCACUGCGCUUGCUCCUCCACAGAUGCACUGAGGUUUGGACAAGCAUUUUAAUGGACAAGCUCUUGAGUGGUAAGGAUACUGCCAACUCUGCCAGGGAAAUGAGCCAGGGGAUGGUUUCUCCAAACUAUUUCCAUGAUGCUGUUUGGACAGUUGCUGGAAGGAAGCAGGCAUAUGAGCUACAUAUGAUUAUAAGUUAUUAUUUGUUCUGUAAAUGAAUUAUUUGGAGAUGGUUUUCGAGAGACAACAGACAUAGGCUGCUUUUAGUCAUUCAGAGAAUUUGUUUCUGUGAUCCCAAGUUUGCAUCUCUUGUCCCUCUGAGCUCAAACUAUCCAGACAGCCUUAAUGUGUAGUGAAUAAUGGUAAGCACAGGAGAUUGUCUCACCUCAGCUCUGAAAGCAUGCAGUCCAGCCCCCUGAGAGCAGGUAGGCCUGCCACUUUGUUCAGGCUCACUAUUACAUUCAACGCAGAAGAAAAGGAUCAGUUUAGUUUCUUGUUAUUUUUGAAUUAUCUGGUGGCUGCAAAUGUAAUUUCUGUCUUUAUUAACACUGAAUUAUCUAAUUCUGUCUGCCAGCCAGAGGUGGAAACUUUGUUCCUCUUCCCUACUCUGCUUUGGAUGUAAAAAGAAUACUAUUUUAUUUCAAUGAUCUAACAAUAGAUGAAUAUGACUGGAGAAGUCUGUAGCCUACAUUUAUUUCUGGACUAGAUAGGAAGUUGAAGUCCUGUCACUAAUCUUAAGAUUAAGAAUAUUGAACAAUCUAGAUGGAUUUUUCUGCUUAUGUUACAGGCUUGGAAAAGGCCUGUAAGAGGGCAAGAAAGAAAAUAUAGUUGGUAUUUAGGAAGUCAGUUUUUCAAGCACUUGUUCUGAAACCUGAAACUGAGUGUUUUGUUUCUUAAAAAGAGCCAGUGUGAUCCCUGAUUCCCACUUCUUCAUGCAAGACAGCAUACAGAAAGGCUUUAAAAUGUUACUAUACAGCUGAUGUCCAUUUAAACUCAAUGGACUAUAGAGGGAGGUUGAGGGAUUUAGGUAGAAAUGCAGUUGUCUCCAAUAAAAAUCGUGUGUGGAAUAUUUAAAAAAUAUUUUAGAAGGGAAUUUUUUCUUCAAGAUUAGGAUCAAGGAAUUUCCCCAGCUCCACAUAAAGUACAGAACAGUGCUAUGAAUGGGGUCUUCGAAUUCAUUUUAAUUCCUUAGUUGUUAUAGCUAGUGUUUGUUUUGCAGAACAAGGCCCCCAUUUGAGAAAUAAGUUGACACAUACAUAAUUUUGUGCCUGCUAGAGAUCCUUGGAAGGUAACGGGGCUCUGCACAAGUUAAUUCCUAUUGAUCCAAUAGCAAGAUCCAGGCCUUCAUUUAUUCAGUGGAAGUACUGGCUAUAACCAGGAUGCCAAAUAAAUGUCUGCUUUUA